rnacentral:rRNA from 1 species
GACGAACGCUGGCGGCGUGCUUAACACAUGCAAGUCGAACGGAAAGGCCCUGCUUUUGUGGGGUGCUCGAGUGGCGAACGGGUGAGUAACACGUGAGUAACCUGCCCUUGACUUUGGGAUAAAUUCAGGAAACUGGGGCUAAUACCGGAUAGGAGCUCCUGCUGCAUGGUGGGGGUUGGAAAGUUUCGGCGGUUGGGGAUGGACUCGCGGCUUAUCAGCUUGUUGGUGGGGUAGUGGCUUACCAAGGCUUUGACGGGUAGCCGGCCUGAGAGGGUGACCGGCCACAUUGGGACUGAGAGACGGCCCAGACUCCUACGGGAGGCAGCAGUGGGGAAUAUUGCACAAUGGGCGGAAGCCUGAUGCAGCAACGCCGCGUGCGUGAUGACGGCCUUCGGGUUGUAAACCGCUUUCGCCUGUGACGAAGCGUGAGUGACGGUAAUGGGUAAAGAAGCACCGGCUAACUACGUG